rnacentral:lncRNA from 1 species
GGCUUUUAAAGUGCUUUAGUUUCAUAAUUGUUCAUAACAUUGUUCUUUGUACAGUAUAAGUACUUUCUGUCCCGUGUUACAGAUGGCAAAUCUGAGAUACGUACUAAAGUGAUUUGUUCUGAACCAACAAAGGAGUUGAUAGUACACUGGGACUGAGACCUGAAUUCUCUCAGUUCCCGGAGUUUGAUUUCCACACUCACAUUAUGUUCAUUAGCAAAAUAACUUUGUCUCGUCAUCAUUUGACCUGCUCAAUUCUCCCCUUCUUAUAAAACUGCUCAGUCCAGCAGCUUUUAGAAAGACACUUCCAUUUUACCACACUGUUGAAAACAGAAGAGCUGAAUUACAUCACUGGGAAGGGUUCCCCCAAAACCUCUUCCUUUGGUCUGCCACUUGAACUCUCAGCAGAAGAACUUGUUGGAGGGCGUAGAAAAGGCUGUGAGGAAGUGGAAGUUCACCAGGAAGUUCCUGAAGCUUCUUAUUGCAUUUGAAACUUUGAUGUCAACAAUCACACCCAAAAAUGUUUGCCACUACUUAGCUGCCACUGAGCAGGACUUGUUUCCUGAAGGGAUGCACAUCUUGCUGUGGUGAGAUGGAUGGUUUGGAACUAAAUGUGAAGCUACUGUUGAUGGGAGGCUCCUUUGCUGUGUUUUUGUUUUAACAAGACCUUCACGCUUCAAGGGAAAAGAUAAUCUCUGUUUGCAGUGUGGAUACAUCCAGAGCUGGGAAUUUCCUCUCUUCUCCCAGUGGAUUGCUCUUCUGCCAGGUGUGAAGCAGUUGAUGUGUUCUUCACCUCCCCACUGUGGCUCCUCUUCUUCCUGGACAGUUGGCUUCAGAUGUUUCCUAAUUCCACAGUUAUCCAGCUUCUGGGGAAGUGGAGGAAGAGUAUCUGAAGUGACACAGUUAGGAAUAAGCUGCAAAAAUCCUCUUCUCCCAUAGUGGCUGUCUGCUUCUCCUUUUUUCACUUUCAAUUUCUAUUUGGCUAUUUUUCCCUAAAGGAACCUAAGGCUUUCACAGGAAAAAAGUCAUAUUUUAGAGUUCUAGAUGCAGCAGAAUGGCCCAAGCUGCAUCUUUCCUGGCUUCCCAAGCAUGUACCAUCCCACAAUGCUCCAUUUUGGUAGAGGUACCAGCCUUCAAAAAAAGAAGGGAUUGUUUCGAAGUGUUCAAAAGUGCUCUAGUGUUCCAGAACCAGAGAGUCUGCUUUCAUAGAGUACUUUGGCAACCAAAACCAUACAUUUGUUGAGGCUUUGGCU